CAGUCACCGCUCCGCUGAAACAUCACAAUUACAAUUCAAAUAUUUAAUUCACAUCUCCAAAAAUGCAGUUGUACUGUAAUUAUGAAACGGUUACAUUUUUAAUUGAAAUGCACUGCAGAUAUGAGUGAAAUUGUGUAAAGUAACUCCAUCACACUGUAUAAAGCUAUGAUAGAUUUUUUGAUAUUUUUACUGAAAACAAGACAAAAAUACCAAGUAAUUUUUUGCAGUGUGACUCCAUUAAAUGUGUGUGUGUGUGUGUGUGUGUGUGUGUGUGUGUGUGUGUGUGUGUGUAUUAAACAUGAACGGGCCAAAACGGACAUGGCAGCAGGUCAAAAUCAAAUACAAGAACAUUCUGCAGAAUGCAGUGAAAAAGAAUACCCACAGACAAGGCACGGGUGGUGGGUCACCAAAGGCUGACCUUACCCCAGCAGAGGACAUGGCCUUGGAGCUAAAUAAAGGCAGGCCCGUCUUAGAGGGGAUCCCUGGGGGGAAAGAGACGAGCAUAGGUUCCUCCCAAGAUGCCACCCGCUUCAUUCAAGUGUCUGGCAGCACUGUGUUCCUGUUAGAGCCACCAGCACAAGCACCAGACGAUGCUGAUCCAGGUGAAGGCCCCAGUGCAGCAGCAACAGCACAUGAUGGAGACGAUGAUGAGGAGGAGACCAUCUCUCUGGAUUCCAGAAGGCAUGAGGUAUCAUGUUAAGACUGUGAAAGUACUAUUUACUCUACAAUGGUGAGGAGUCCUCAUCAAAAUCAAAAAAUCGAAUUUCUUUUACAGGACCCAGAUGCUAUACAGUGGGAAAACCAGCCUGGCAACAUAGUGCGUAUUAAUAAAAGGACACCACAUCCUGCCAAAUUCCAGCUGCGCUAAUUGUAUUGUGUUCACAGAGCUCACAAGCUAUCAGAAAGUUGUAUGGCAACCACCUCCGGCGCCAAAUAGAACUGGCAGACAUAGACAUUCAGUACAAGAAGAAAAAGAUGGAAAAUCUUGCACUGGAGUCCGAAAUAAAAA
rnacentral:lncRNA from 1 species